rnacentral:rRNA from 1 species
CCUACGGGUGGCAGCAGUGGGGAAUAUUGGGCAAUGGGCGCAAGCCUGACCCAGCAACGCCGCGUGAAGGAAGAAGGCCUUCGGUUUGUAAACUUCUUUUGUCAGGGACGCAGAAAGUGACGGUACCUGACGAAUAAGCCACGGCUAACUACGUGCCAGCAGCCGCGGUAAUACGUAGGUGGCAAGCGUUAUCCGGAUUUACUGGGUGUAAAGGGCGGGUAGGCGGGAGAGCAAGUCAGACGUGAAAUUCCAGGGCUCAACCCUGGAACUGCGUUUGAAACUGUUCUUCUUGAGUGAUGGAGAGGCAGGCGGAAUUCCGUGUGUAGCGGUGAAAUGCGUAGAUAUACGGAGGAACACCAGUGGCGAAGGCGGCCUGCUGGACAUUAACUGACGCGGAGGCGCGAAAGCGUGGGGAGCAAACAGGAUUAGAUACCCGUGUAGUC